rnacentral:rRNA from 1 species
AUGGCGCUCGCCUUCGACGAGUACGGGCGGCCCUUCAUCAUCCUCCGGGAGCAGGAGAAGAAGUCGCGGCUGCAGGGGCUCGACGCGCAGAAGGCCAACAUCGCCGCCGGCAAGUCCGUAGCGCGCAUCCUCCGCACCUCCCUCGGGCCCAAGGGCAUGGACAAGAUGCUCCAGUCCCCCGACGGCGACGUCACCAUCACAAACGAUGGGGCGACGAUCCUGGAGCUAAUGGAUGUUGACAACCAGAUUGCGAAGCUCAUGGUGGAGUUGUCCCGCAGUCAAGACUAUGACAUUGGAGAUGGUACCACCGGGGUUGUGGUCCUGGCUGGGUCGCUCCUGGAGCAGGCUGAGAAGCUGCUGGAACGUGGUAUUCACCCAAUAAGGAUCGCCGAAGGUUAUGAGAUGGCGUCGAGGAUAGCUGUUGAUCACCUUGAAAGCAUCUCCACGAAAUAUGAGUUCAGUGCUACAGACAUAGAGCCUUUGGUGCAGACCUGCAUGACAACUUUGUCCUCAAAGAUUGUUAGCCGUUGUAAGAGGGCUCUAGCUGAGAUUGCUGUCAAAGCAGUCCUUGCGGUCGCUGAUUUGGAAAGGAAGGAUGUAAAUUUGGACUUGAUUAAGGUGGAAGGUAAGGUUGGUGGGAAGCUCGAGGAUACUGAGCUAGUACAAGGAAUCAUUGUUGACAAAGAUAUGAGCCACCCCCAAAUGCCAAAGAGAAUUGAGGAUGCUCACAUUGCCAUUCUGACCUGCCCAUUUGAGCCCCCGAAGCCUAAGACAAAGCAUAAGGUUGACAUUGACACUGUAGAGAAAUUCCAGACACUGCGUGGGCAAGAGCAGAAAUACUUCGAUGACAUGGUUCAGAAAUGCAAGGAUGUUGGUGCAACCCUAGUUAUUUGUCAAUGGGGGUUUGAUGAUGAAGCCAAUCACUUACUAAUGCAAAGGGAGCUGCCGGCUGUCAGAUGGGUUGGUGGUGUUGAAUUAGAAUUAAUUGCCAUUGCGACAGGAGGGAGGAUUGUUCCAAGGUUCCAAGAGUUGACUACCGAAAAGCUUGGGAAGGCUGGAUUAGUCAGAGAGAAGUCAUUUGGAACAACAAAAGAUCGGAUGCUAUACAUCGAGAAGUGUGCCAAUUCCAAAGCUGUAACUAUUUUCAUCCGUGGUGGCAACAAAAUGAUGAUUGAGGAGACCAAGCGAAGUAUUCAUGAUGCUCUAUGUGUUGCAAGGAAUCUGAUCAUCAACAACUCAAUUGUGUAUGGUGGUGGCUCAGCAGAAAUAUCUUGCUCAAUUGCUGUUGAUGCUGCAGCAGAUCGGCAUCCUGGAGUUGAGCAGUAUGCAAUCAGGGCAUUUGCUGAUGCUUUGGAUGCCAUUCCACUAGCUUUAGCUGAAAACAGUGGUUUGCCGCCUAUUGAUACUCUCACUGUCGUAAAAUCCCAACAUGUCAAGGAGAACAAUUCCCGCUGUGGCAUUGAUUGCAAUGAUGUUGGUACCAACGACAUGAAAGAACAGAAUGUUUUCGAGACUCUGAUCGGCAAGCAGCAACAGAUCUUGCUGGCAACACAGGUGGUCAAGAUGAUCCUCAAGAUUGAUGAUGUCAUAACGCCUUCUGAGUAUUGA